UACGGGGGGGGCAAGCGUUGUUCGGAAUUACUGGGCGUAAAGGGCUCGUAGGCGGCCAACUAAGUCAGACGUGAAAUCCCCAGGCUUAACCUGGGAACUGCAUCCGAUACUGGAUGGCUUGAAUUCGGGAGAGGGAUGCAGAAUUCCAGGUGUAGCGGUGAAAUGCGUAGAUAUCUGGAGGAAUACCGGUGGCGAAGGCGGCAUCCUGGACCGACAUUGACGCUGAGGAGCGAAAGCUAGGGGAGCAAACGGG
rnacentral:rRNA from 1 species